UGCGGGGGCUGACUGGGGAGGCUCCAGGUCUGCGGCUUGGGGGUGGGCUCGGCGUUUCUCUUCGCGUCCCGGUUUCCAGGAAGAGCUAAAAAUGGCUGAAUUUCUAGAUGACCAGGAUACUCGACUGUGUGACAACUG